GUAAUACGGAGGGUGCAAGCGUUAAUCGGAAUUACUGGGCGUAAAGCGCACGCAGGCGGUCAAUUAAGUCAGAUGUGAAAGCCCCGAGCUUAACUUGGGAAUUGCAUCUGAAACUGGUUGGCUAGAGUCUUGUAGAGGGGGGGUAGAAUUCCACGUGUAGCGGUGAAAAUGCGUAGAGAUGUGGAGGAAUACCGGUGGCGAAGGCGGCCCCCUGGACAAAGACUGACGCUCAGGUGCGAAAGCGUGGGGAGCAAACAGGAUUAGAUACCCUGGUAGUCCACGCUGUAAACGAUGUCGAUUUAGAGGUUGUGGUCUUGAACCGUGGCUUCUGGAGCUAACGCGUUAAAUCGACGCCUGGGGAGUACGGCCGCAAGGUUAAAACUCAAAUGAAUUGACGGGGGCCCGCACAAGCGGUGGAGCAUGUGGUUUAAUUCGAUGCAACGCGAAGAACCUUACCUACUCUUGACAUCCAGCGAAUCCUUUAGAGAUAGAGGA
rnacentral:rRNA from 1 species